AAAUGGUUGCGUCCAGUGCUAUUUCAUCACCCCGUUUUACUUCCAGGCUUGUUUUGAGGAUGACUUUUGGGGCAUCUGUAAUGAUUAAAAGCCAGAAUUGUUCUUCAUUCUUGACAAAACAUGAAUCCCAUUUAUUUUACAAUGAGGAAGUAGCACCCAUCACCCCCCCCCAAAAAAAAAAUAAAACAUACCAAUAGGAUCUACAGCUUUGGUUGGGGGAGUGGCCCGAGAAGGUUCACCAAUACCAGCAGCAUUCUCUGCUCGCACACGGAAUUGGUACUCUUUUCCCUCCUCGAGUCCUUUUGCUGUAUAGGUCAGGACAGGUACCAAAUGUUCAUUGCAUCUCUUCCAUCUAUCUUCACCCUUAGCAAUCUUUUCUAUGAUGUAACCCAUUAUCUUGCUUCCUCCAUCAUACAAGGGUGGCUUCCAUGUGAUAGUCAUUGCCUUAGCUGUAGGAUUAUGAACUUCAACAUCUACAGGUGGAUCAGGCGGUUCUGGUGAACAAAGAAAAAACACCUAUUACUACUGGAGAAACCAAUUAAUGCAAACACAAUAAUUAUCAUAUAUUCUAUCCUAGCCAUCAUAUGUCUAUGUUCCAACUUACGCUUUGGAUCUUGAGCAAUGACAGGAUUCUUGAGUUCAAUAUAUUCGCCUCCACCAAUCUUGUUGACUGCUUUUACCCGGAAGAAGUAUUCACCGUUUGGUAUGAGAUCCUUUACGGUCCAAGACAGUUUGUUCUCACCAGACAUGACUGAAUUGUUACCUAUGACUUUGACAUUGAUUGAAGCGGUUGCUGAGCCAAGCUUAUUCUCCAGGGUGAUGGUGUAAACUCCAGCAUCUGCAUGGACACUCUUGGGAACCUCAAGGUGUGCAGAGAUGUGGUCAUUCUUCAUGGUUAAUCUGUCACUUGCUUUAACUUCUUUGCCAUCUUUAUGCCAGCUCACAGUUGGCACUGGGACAGCUCUGAAGGGCACAGGGAUGCUUAACUUUUCACCUUCGAUAACAACAAUGUCAUGAGUCUCUAGAUCAAUUGUUGGUUUGCCUACAAAACACCAAGGGAUGGGGGAAAUAUGUUAAAAUGCAACGGUCAGGAAGAAAGCAUGUAUUAUUAACUCUGAAGGAUAGCGAAUGCUUACAGUCGGGGUCUUUGGCAACCACGUUUUCCGAGAUUUCAGAUGGCUCACUGACACCUACAGCAUUGACAGCUCUCACUCUCAGAACGUAUUCUUUGUCGGGAACAACUCCCUCUUCAACCUUGAACUUCAAAUCUUUGACUGGGCGAGAAUUGACCCGCAUCCAUUUCUCGGUGCCUACCGGACACAUCUCAACAUGGUAGCCUAUGAUAGGACUGCCGCCAUUUUUCUCUGGAGGUUUCCAAGCAAUGGCAAUGUGUUUUCUCCCAGCAUCAGUCACAUGCAGAUCAAGAGGAGGUGAGGGAGGACCUGGGAAGACAGCAGCAAAGCCUUUACCUCACAGUCUCAUGUCAGGCCCUAGACAAUCUCCUUUGAAGCAUCAGUACAACUUACUUGUCGGGUCUUCAAUUGACAGGAUUUCUGUGGGCUCACUUGGAUGACCAACUCCUGCUUCAUUUUCAGCCCGAACUUGAAACUGGACUUCUGUCCCUUCGAUGACAUCAGUUACCCUGAAGUUACAGUCAGGGCCUGAGGUCUUUCCAGCUUUUACCCAACGGGUGCCUAGUUUUUCCUUCUUCUCAAUGAUGUAUCUGUUGAAAAAAAUAAAGCAUCCCAUUCAGCAUUAAGAAAAACAGAAGUUGAUCAUGUAUACCCAUAUUUGACAUUUUUUAUAGUGAAAAAAAAAAAAACCACUGAAGCUCUACCUCUGUAUUGGUCGUCCACCAUCAUUUUUAGGUGGCUCCCACUUUAAGUCAACAUGUCGCUUUGUCACAUCAACCACCGUCAGGGCAUAGGGAGGUCCAGGGGUGGCUAAAGACAAAAGAAUCAACCAUUAGAAAAACCGGAGGGAAAAUGUAUAACUUGCUACAAGUGCUGUUGCAAAGACUGAGCUGCGGUGCUUACUGAAGGUGUCUUUGGCCAGGACGGAAUCCCCGAUUUCGGUGUAGUCACUUUGCCCUAUGGCAUUUUCUGCAGCCACUCGGAACACGUACAGAGAGCCCUCUGUCAGCGGGGUUACCGUGCACUUCGUCUCCUUGACAGUGGUGUCCACCGUUUGCCAGCCUUUGCGCCUCACAUCUCUCUUCUCCACGAUGUAGUUAGUGAUGGGUGACCCUCCGUCCUUCUCGGGCACUGUCCAUUUUAGGUCAGCUGAAUUUUUUGUGAUAUUAAUCACUUCGAGCCAUCGAGGUGGUGAUGGAGGAUCUGAAGAGGAAGACAUACUCCAUUUUAUUCUUUACCACAUGUUCUCACAGUCACAAUGAAACAAUAAGGUCCAGCCAAAUUUUCAGCCAGCACACGGAAUCUGUACUUUUUCUUAUUGGUGAGACCUUUCACUCUGGAGCAGGGACAAGGUAACAUCAUGGUUGAGAAUCUUACCAAACUGAUAUUUGGCUACUAUUGGUGCAGCCUGAACUGGUUCACCAACCCCAUACAUGUUCUCUGCAGCAACUCUGAAGAUGUACUCUUUGUUGGGUGUUAAUUUGGUUGCCUUGAAGUUGGUGUCCUUAACCGUUGAUGAGAGCUUAUGCCACACAUCGCUGUCUGUUGCUUUUCUCUCCACAACAUAGUUUGUGAUCUUAGAUCCACCGUCAUCUCUCGGAGGGUUCCACGUCAGGAGACAAGACUCAUUGGUUACAUCUGUGAUGUCAAAAGCCGCUGGUGGUCCGGGUUUAUCUGUGGAUGGUAUUACAUGGGGAAAAAAAAAAUGUUUUAAACUGUGUUCUGUUCGAAGAGCCACGGUGAGUUUAAUCCUUUUAAAAAGAAGAGCCCCGCUUACCCAGGACGUUGACUUCCACCACGGCGGUGGCCCGGCCGCAGACGUUCACAGCUUCUAUGAUAUAUGUACCCGUGUCGCUUCGCUUGCUGUCCGUGAUUGUCACUGUGGACUUCUUAGGGACGUUUUCAAUGGUGAUUCUUUGGUCUGGCUUCAGCAGGGUGUCAGCCUUUGUCCAAGUUAUUUUAGGCUCAGGCUUUCCAGUCACAGUGGCCGGAAGCUCAAUCUUUGUGCCGGCUUUCACAGUGAGACCGGCAAGGAGCUUCACAUCCAGGAAGAUCUCAGGAGCCUCUGCAUUGGAAAAGAUUAUUCAUGUCCUUAGCAUGUUCAAGCAGGCAAGGCCAGAGGCCUGACCAACAAGACAAGAAGGGAAUGAUAAA